rnacentral:rRNA from 1 species
CACGUAGGGGGCGAGCGUUGUCCGGAUUUAUUGGGCGUAAAGAGCUCGUAGGUGGCUCGGUAAGUCGGGUGUGAAAACUCGGGGCUCAACCCCGAGACGCCACUCGAUACUGCUGUGGCUUGAGUCCGGAAGAGGAGAGUGGAAUUCCCGGUGUAGCGGUGAAAUGCGCAGAUAUCGGGAAGAACACCCGUGGCGAAGGCGGCUCUCUGGGACGGUACUGACGCUGAGACGCGAAAGCGUGGGGAGCGAACAGG